AAUACAUGCAAGUCGAGCGGACAGAUGGGAGCUUGCUCCCUGAUGUUAGCGGCGGACGGGUGAGUAACACGUGGGUAACCUGCCUGUAAGACUGGGAUAACUCCGGGAAACCGGGGCUAAUACCGGAUGCUUGUUUGAACCGCAUGGUUCAAACAUAAAAGGUGGCUUCGGCUACCACUUACAGAUGGACCCGCGGCGCAUUAGCUAGUUGGUGAGGUAAUGGCUCACCAAGGCGACGAUGCGUAGCCGACCUGAGAGGGUGAUCGGCCACACUGGGACUGAGACACGGCCCAGACUCCUACGGGAGGCAGCAGUAGGGAAUCUUCCGCAAUGGACGAAAGUCUGACGGAGCAACGCCGCGUGAGUGAUGAAGGUUUUCGGAUCGUAAAGCUCUGUUGUUAGGGAAGAACAAGUACCGUUCGAAUAGGGCGGUACCUUGACGGUACCUAACCAGAAAGCCACGGCUAACUACGUGCCAGCAGCCGCGGUAAUACGUAGGUGGCAAGCGUUGUCCGGAAUUAUUGGGCGUAAAGGGCUCGCAGGCGGUUUCUUAAGUCUGAUGUGAAAGCCCCCGGCUCAACCGGGGAGGGUCAUUGGAAACUGGGGAACUUGAGUGCAGAAGAGGAGAGUGGAAUUCCACGUGUAGCGGUGAAAUGCGUAGAGAUGUGGAGGAACACCAGUGGCGAAGGCGACUCUCUGGUCUGUAACUGACGCUGAGGAGCGAAAGCGUGGGGAGCGAACAGGAUUAGAUACCCUGGUAGUCCACGCCGUAAACGAUGAGUGCUAAGUGUUAGGGGGUUUCCGCCCCUUAGUGCUGCAGCUAACGCAUUAAGCACUCCGCCUGGGGAGUACGGUCGCAAGACUGAAACUCAAAGGAAUUGACGGGGGCCCGCACAAGCGGUGGAGCAUGUGGUUUAAUUCGAAGCAACGCGAAGAACCUUACCAGGUCUUGACAUCCUCUGACAAUCCUAGAGAUAGGACGUCCCCUUCGGGGGCAGAAUGACAGGUGGUGCAUGGUUGUCGUCAGCUCCUGUCCUGAGAUGUUGGGUUAAAUCCCGCAACGAACGCAACCCUUGAUCUUAUUUGCCACCAUUCAAUUGGGCACUCUAAGGUGACUGCCGCGGAACAACCGGAGGAA
rnacentral:rRNA from 1 species